rnacentral:tmRNA from 1 species
GGGGGCGACCUGGCUUCGACGUGGGUAUCGAAGCAGUUCGGGGCAUGCCAAGGUCCAGUCACCUUGUAAAUCCGCUGGAAACUAUAAACGCCAACGACGAGCGUUACGCUCUAGCCGCCUAAUACCGGCUAGACGCUGCACUAGCUUGCUGAUGGGCUAGGCCGACGGGCAGGCGAGGCGCAAGCCGAAGCUGCUCAACGGUGCAGCGUCAUUGACAUCAGCCUCUCCCACGGUCUGGUCGCUUGGCCGUGCGGAUCCGUCGAAGCGACUGGCCAAGCGUCAGCCUGCCGGCCGGCGGGCGCAAGGCGAGAUCCAAACGACCUGGCUAAGCAUGUAGUCCCGGCUGUGUAGGACUUGCGGACGGCGGUUCGAUUCCGCCCGCCUCCACCU